rnacentral:rRNA from 1 species
UACGUAGGGUGCAAGCGUUAAUCGGAAUUACUGGGCGUAAAGCGUGCGCAGGCGGUUUGUAAGUCUGUCGUGAAAGCCCGGCUCAACCUGGGAAUUGCGAUGGAGACUGCAAGGCUUGAAUCUGGCAGAGGGGGUAGAAUUCCACGUGUAGCAGUGAAAUGCGUAGAUAUGUGGAGGAACACCGAUGGCGAAGGCAGCCCCUGGGUCAAGACUGACGCUCAUGCACGAAAGCGUGGGGAGCAAACAGG